UGAAGUUAGCGGCGGACGGGUGAGUAACACGGUGGGUUAACCUGCCCAUAAGACUGGGAUAACUCCGGGAAACCGGGGCUAAUACCGGAUAACAUUUUGAACUGCAUGGUUCGAAAUUGAAAGGCGGCUUCGGCUGUCACUUAUGGAUGGACCCGCGUCNCAUUAGCUAGUUGGUGAGGUAACGGCUCACCAAGGCAACGAUGCGUAGCCGACCUGAGAGGGUGAUCGGCCACACUGGGACUGAGACACGGCCCAGACUCCUACGGGAGGCAGCAGUAGGGAAUCUUCCGCAAUGGACGAAAGUCUGACGGAGCAACGCCGCGUGAGUGAUGAAGGCUUUCGGGUCGUAAAACUCUGUUGUUAGGGAAGAACAAGUGCUAGUUGAAUAAGCUGGCACCUUGACGGUACCUAACCAGAAAGCCACGGCUAACUACGUGCCAGCAGCCGCGGUAAUACGUAGGUGGNAAGCGUUAUCCGGAAUUAUUGGGCGUAAAGCGCGCNCAGGUGGUUUCUUAAGUCUGAUGUGAAAGCCCACGGCUCAACCNUGGAGGGUCAUUGGAAACUGGGAGACUUGAGUG
rnacentral:rRNA from 1 species